GACUGCGGAAGGUUGCCCGGGCUGGCGCCGCUGGGCAGAGCCGGUGCGACGUUUCCCUUUCCAGCUUUGUUCUUCCGGCCCUGCUGUCUGCCUCCCCGGCUGAUUGGAUUCGUUACUGCUUUGCAACGCGCACCUAACUCCAGGUUAGCGGGGAUUAGUAAGAACUCAGCUCUGGGCCAGUCGGGAAGACAGAUAAGGAGACCAGUUAGUCAGCAUCCAGUGCUUGAAGAGUGCGGCCCCAGGUAGUGUGGGACCCGGAGAAAGAAGGCGGGAAAGCAUUUCAAAGAAGGCACAGAUUCGGCGCAGGCUUAGGACACAAAAAGGGGGAAAAGUCCAGCUUUCAAGAACUUAUCCAGAUUUUUGCAGUUAAAAUUUUUUCUUUUUUGAGACGGGAGUUCCGCUCUUGUUGCCCAGGCUGGAGUGCAAUGGCGCGAUCUCGGCUCACUGCAACCUCCGCCCCCCCGGGUUCAAGCGAUUCUUUUGCCUCAGCCUGCCGAGUAGCUGGGAUUACAGGCAUGCGCCACCACGCCCCGCUAAUUUUGUAUUUUAGUAGAGACAGGGUUUCUCCAUGUUGGUCAGGCUGGUCUCGAACUCCCGACCUCAGGUGAUCCGCCCCCGUCUCGGCCUCCCAAAGUGCUGGCAUUACAGGCGUGAGCUACCGCGCUCGGCCGCAAUUAAAAUUUUUUCUAAAAACUUACUGUGGCCGGGGGGAGUGGCUUACUCUUGUAAUCCCACCGCUUUGGGAGGCAGAGGUGGGAGGAUCGCUUGAGCUCAGGAGUUCGAGGCUGCAGUGAGCUAUGAUCUGAGCCACUGCAUUGCACCCGACAGGGAGGCCUUGUCUCCAAAAAAAAAAAAAAAAGCGCUGGAGUUUGGGGUUUUGGAGAACUACUGAUUAAAGGAUAAAUAAUCCAGACAGGGGCAAACAUAAGCAAAAA
rnacentral:lncRNA from 1 species